CCCUCUCCCCGCGUCCCCGCCAGGGCAGCGUGCGCGCUGGGAGUCGCCGAGCCGCCGCCCGGCCUGUCCCCGCUCCGCCGCCCGCAGCGCUUCUCCCUUCGCCGCUCCGGGGCCGCCUGGCGGGGGGUGAAUAGACCAGCCGGGCGCGCCCCCCCCCCCCCCCCCCGCCCGCCCGCCUGCCCUCCCUCUUCCCCUCCCUCCCCGUCCCUUCCUCUCUCCGCCUGGUGCCGCCACCGCCGAGGAGGAGGAACAUGGCGAAAGCGGAGCAGGUCCUCAGCCUCGAACCGCAGCACGAGCUCAAAUUCAAAGGUCCUUUCACAGAUGUUGUUACUACAAAUCUGAAACUUGGCAAUCCUACAGACAGAAAUGUGUGCUUCAAAGUUAAGACCACAGCACCACGUAGAUACUGUGUAAGGCCUAACAGUGGAAUUAUCGAUGCAGGAACAUCAAUUAAUGUUUCUGUGAUGCUACAGCCUUUUGACUAUGACCCUAAUGAGAAAAGUAAACACAAGUUUAUGGUUCAGUCUAUGUUUGCUCCAGCUGAUACUUCAGACAUGGAAGCAGUAUGGAAAGAAGCAAAACCGGAAGAACUCAUGGAUUCGAAACUUAGGUGUGUGUUUGAGCUACCAGCCGAAAAUGAUAAGCCUCAUGACAUAGAAAUAAAUAAAAUUGUAUCCACAACUGCAACAAAGACAGAUUCCUCUGUAAUGUCUAAAUCAAUAAGUUCUUCUUUGGAUGACACUGAAGUUAAGAAAGUAAUGGAAGACUAUAAGAGGCUUCAAGUAGAAGUUCAGAGGUUACGGGAGGAGAAUAAACAGUUUAAGGAAGAAGAUGGACUGCGGAUGAGAAAGGCACCCCAGACAAACAACCCAAUAUCUGCUUCUGCAGCUGCUGUUAAGGAUGAAGGGCUCAGCUCCAGACUACUUGCUUUGGUGGUUUUGUUCUUUGUCUUUGGUGUAAUUAUAGGAAAAAUAGCCUUGUAGAGGCAGCAUGCUGGAAAUUGUAAAUUGGUUUGAUGGUUCUGCCAUAUCAUUGGAUUAAAUUUAUUCAUAACAAUGUUUAAAAAAAAAAAUUAAUGUAUGACAUCUCACAGGUCUUGCCUUUAAAUUACCCCUGCACAAAUACUAUGUAACAUAAUCUAGAAAGUUUAAAAUGUACAAUGAAUGAAUGAAUGAAAGAAAAUAUGCUUCAGUGAUGAAGGUGGGGAGAAAAUCAUGAUUUAACACUACAAUGGAAUAUUGUAUAUGUCAUUUUAAACAUUCUUAGACCCUGGUAUAUGUUGCUGGAUUACCUCUUUUUAAAAAAAAAAAGGAAAAAAAAAAAAAAGGAAAAAUAGAACAAACUAUUCCUCCACUGCUGGAGCUGGCCCUAUUGGAUGUUUGGAGCUGGGUUAGGCAGGAGGUGUUGAUAACUUCUGUAAAAUACGUUAAUCCACCAUUCUGCUCAUAAAUUUAACAGUUUCUGUCAGUGUCUUCAACUCUGUGCAAGUUACCAAUUUCUUGGCACUUAAAUGAAUAGUGAGAAGCUGAAAAGAAUUGUAUGUGGCAAUGCUGAAUGUGCUAGGCAUCAUUAAGAGGCAUAUAUUGACUGGUAUAACACUCAUUUGGAAUAAAGGUCAAUGCCUUGUUCUCAUAAAGGGACCAAGCUACAUUGCUGUUGGUUCAUUUAGUUGAAUUAAAAUGUUAUUCAGAGAUGUUUAAUGCAUAUUUAACUUAUUUAAUGUAUUUCAUCUCAUGUUUCCUUAUUGUCACAAAAUUGACUAAUACUAUAUGGUAUGAAAAGGCACCUGUUUAAAGCCAGUGACUAGAACUAAAAAUUUGCUGCUGUAGUGAUGCAAGAUUCUUCUGCCUCCUGGUAUUUUGGGCACUACACAAUUGUUGGGAGUUUUGAUCAUCUGAGCAUUGGAGAAACAGUGGUCAGGAAACUGUUUUUGUAUGUAAAUAAGUCUAUCUAGGGGAAAAAAUAUUAGUAGUAAACUAGUCCUAUGCCGUAAAAGACCAAUCCUGUUUGACUAUGUAGCAUCUUAAAAAAAAAAAAAAAAGAAAAAAAAAGAAAAGAAAAAUUAAAUAAAGCCCCCAAAUUGAUGUUUCCUUUGUUACUUUUGUCAUGUUCUCACAGUUUCGGGGAGGGGAGGGAACAGUAUUCUCUGUCCACCUUGUUUAUGGCAUAAGGAAACUUGCAGCCUUGUUUAAGGAUGAAUUUUUUUUUUCCAGCCUAAUUUUAAAAUAAAUCCAAACAGCCCCAUCAUCAGCCUGAUAUACAUAAGUGUUCAAAGUAACGAUGCUGACUGCUGAGGUACAAGUCUUGCUCUUCCCUGACUGCCUGUCCCUGACUUCUGGCCCACGGGAAUGCUCUGUGGCUGCACCCGGGCUGCCUGGCAGAAGCACUCCCUUCACAUAGAUGUCUUAACUCUGGUCCCAGAUGCCUUUUCCCAUCCGAGGAAACUACUCACCUUUCUGCUUCCUCUUUGAUCAAAUUUGUUCCUUCUUCCUCUUCGCUCUGUGUAGUUUGGAGCAAUGAGUCUUGUCAACCAUCUCUUUUCUGUCUCCAGCUUUUUUCUGCUGUUUCAAUGCAGCAUAUUUAUUUUUAGUAAAUAAUAGGCUUUUAUGUUCAGUGUGGAUUGUUUAUCAAAUGAAGCACUAGCUCAAUGCUGUUAAUAUAUCCCAAAGUGUUUUAAAACUUUCUGUGUUUUGUUUCAGUUUAAGAAUUGUUUGGGAAUCUAGAAUGCAAAAUACAUUCUGAGGUAUUGUAAACAGGGGAGCAUGAAGAUGGCUAAUUGGAAAAAUAAGUUACUAUUAAUUAAGCUGUGAACAGGAGAUCAAACCCAUGACUAUGUCAGCCAAACUCAGCUUGUGCUUUAAAUUUUUGUCCCUGCUAGAGAAACAGAAAAUCGCAAAGGCAACUUGUCUGAGUAGCUUAUGAUACUAAAGAAGGUACGAAAGACUUUCAUGCUUAGACUCGGUAUAGGAAGCUAGUAAGUGUAUUCAGAGUGUUUGAAAAUUAUUUUAUUUUUCUUUGCUUUUUUGAGUGGUUAAAAAAUGAUUAAACUUUUGCAAAGUAUUCUGUAAGAAGUGAAUGGGGAAGAGUUUUCCAAGACACAUGUGCCCAUUACCAUUGACUUUCAGCUGGUACUAACCUGCCAGUGCAUGUUAGCUUGCACUAACAGGUACAAUAAAAAGGUAUAUAUUUAUUUUACAGUUGAAAGGAAUCCAGUAGUCAGGACUGAUGUUCAUUGUCUAGGUCCUAGACCUGUUUUUUCUAAUGCAGUGUUAGACAUGAAACAUGAAUUUACUUGGUUUUGCCUUGUUCAUGUCAGAUAAAGAUAAAUGAAUCGCAGAACUAGGAAGUUGGAAUCCUGAUUACUUUCAAGCUUGGCAUACAGCCAUGUGAAAUGCUAAUAAAUGUAAUUGGUGCUUCAAAAGGGCACAGCUGAGCAAAUUUCUUAUCAAAUCUGGUAGUGAAGAAGAAAUUAGAUGGAAAACUGAAUUAGAAUUGGCAGUUUUCUAAGUGAAAGGUGUUAAAUGGCCAAAAACCCAAUAAUUUUGCAAUUGAGAAGGGGGACAACUUUGCCUAACUGCCCAUCCUGUUUCAGUAACGAAAUGAAGGGGAAAAUUAGAUGUAAAGUAAUAUAAAACAAAUAAGAAAAAGGGAAGUAGACAGCAAUCAACUCAAAAUGAGAGUUACGAAGUGUAGAAAAUUAAUAAGGCAAGCAAUAGCCAGAGGAAAAAAAAAAGUAUGGGUUGGAGUGCUUGGAGAGGCUGAUAAAAGAGCAGAAGUUCAGAGGAAAUCUUUGUGGUAGGGUAAGGGCUAUUACUAGAUGCAGGUGGUAAAGCUGCUAGUGAUGGUGUAAGAAUUGGAAAGGUGAUGUCACUCAUUAGCAAUGCUUAAUAUUAAAAAACAAUAUUUUUAAAUCCAGUAGGUCUAGAAACCUUGUAUCUGUAUUUCUAAGGGAGAUGCCUGGGGCAAUCUCUGACCUGCUGAUGAGAAGGAUGGCAGACAGGACAGGACAGGACGGCCCAGGCGAAGUGCGUAGCUAGCCUGACACCCCCAGGGAAGGGAUGAAAAAGGAGAUGAAGGAGCAUAAUGUAAGUCAUUUCAUUCUGUCUUUUGUUUUUCAGUUUUCUUUGGGAUUAGAGUAAUGUGAGUGUAUCUGGGCCCCUGCAAAGCUUGGUGUGUUCUGACAAUCACAACGUUUCAGAAGUGGUCGUUCAAAGAGAACCGUAGCAAAAUGGGGAUACUCAUAGAAGGGUUCUACUGGGACCCCAUAUGAUUCAGUGGUUCCAGAUCACUGGUGAAAAUAGAUACAAAAUCACUACUGAUAAAAUGUUAACAUGACAAAAAUAUCCACACCCAGGACCAGAGUGAGUAAGAGCUCCACAUGUGUUCCCCAUGCAGUCCCAGGGUAAAAGACUAAUGAAUAAGAAUGUGUUCUCGUUUUUAAUUACCGUUAGCAGUAAGUGAUUAUACUUCUGUGUGUCUCAGCUGUGAGAGUUGGGAAUUUUGGAUGCAACUUGGAUAUUGACAUUUUAAAAGAGAAGCUGAGUAAUUACAAUGGAUGCAAAAAAAGAUUCAAAAAUUACUGGUGGAGUGUGAAAAUGCCUUAGAGAGGGUGAGAGACUAAACUCAGUUGGCUGAGUUUAUCUACCAAAAUUGAGAAUGUCUUGAUUACAGUGCAUAGGUACCUUCACGGGGAGAAAAUACUGACCACUGCAGCUCUUUGAUCUUAAAAAGAGCAACACAACAAGAACCACUGCCUGGCAAUCAAAGCCAGGCAAAUUCAAAUUGGAAGAAGGCACAAAUUCUUAAGAGAGAAUAACUGUAAUUUAGGAAUGUUUCUCAAAAAACUGUGAACAGAACAAUAAAAGUUAUGAUAUUUAUGCAAA